GAUGAACGCUGGCGGCGUGCCUAAUACAUGCAAGUCGAGCGAACGGACGAGAAGCUUGCUUCUCUGAUGUUAGCGGCGGACGGGUGAGUAACACGUGGAUAACCUACCUAUAAGACUGGGAUAACUUCGGGAAACCGUAGCUAAUCCCGGAUAAUAUUUUGAACCGCAUGGUUCAAAAGUGAAAGACGGCCUUGCUGUCACUUCUCGAUGGAUCCGCGCUGCAUUAGCUAGUUGGUAAGGUAACGGCUUACCAAGGCAACGAUGCAUAGCCGACCUGAGAGGGUGAUCGGCCACACUAGAACUGAGACACGGUCCAGACUCCUACGGGAGGCAGCAGUAGGGAAUCUUCCGCAGUGGGCGAAAGCCUGACGGAGCAACGCCGCGUGAGUGAUGAAGGUCUUCGGAUCGUAAAACUCUGUUAUUAGGGAAGAACAUAUGUGUAAGUAACUGUGCACAUCUUGACGGUACCUAAUCAGAAAGCCACGGCUAACUACGUG
rnacentral:rRNA from 1 species